rnacentral:rRNA from 1 species
UGAACGCUGGCGGCGUGCCUAAUACAUGCAAGUCGAGCGAACAGACGAGGAGCUUGCUCCUCUGACGUUAGCGGCGGACGGGUGAGUAACACGUGGAUAACCUACCUAUAAGACUGGGAUAACUUCGGGAAACCGGAGCUAAUACCGGAUAAUAUAUUGAACCGCAUGGUUCAAUAGUGAAAGACGGUUUUGCUGUCACUUAUAGAUGGAUCCGCGCCGCAUUAGCUAGUUGGUAAGGUAACGGCUUACCAUGGCAACGAUGCGUAGCCGACCUGAGAGGGUGAUCGGCCACACUGGAACUGAGACACGGUCCAGACUCCUACGGGAGGCAGCAGUAGGGAAUCUUCCGCAAAGGGCGAAAGCCUGACGGAGCAACGCCGCGUGAGUGAUGAAGGUCUUCGGAUCGUAAAACUCUGUUAUUAGGGAAGAACAAAUGUGUAAGUAACUAUGCACGUCUUGACGGUACCUAAUCAGAAAGCCACGGCUAACUACGUG